rnacentral:ncRNA from 5 species
GGGUGAUUAGCUCAGCUGGGAGAGC